GCGAGAGAUUGGCCGCCCACUCCGAGGGGUAAAACUGGAACGGGGGCAAAAUCUUACCCCUCGCUCCGAGCUCAUCGCCUGCACCUGCACGGCGCCACGGCUAGACAAGCCUGUGCAAUCGGGCGCCCGAUUCGCCGGCCACGAUGCACAGCUCGCUCGCUCGGCAGGUGGGCCCGCCGAUCCGGCCUGGCUGCGCGGACCAGGCCCGCCGCGAUCGAUCCGGUUCGGUCCGGUGCCACGCCGAGGCCGCGCCGCCGGUGUCCGUCGCUAGGACGGGGCCGUACACCGGGAGGGACCCGGAGGUGAAGAAGCCGGCGUGGCUGAGGCAGAGGGCGGCGCAAGGGGAGAAGUACGCGCGGAUGCGGGAGUCGCUCGGCGAGCUCAAGCUCAACACCGUCUGCGUCGAGGCCCAGUGCCCCAACAUCGGCGAGUGCUGGAACGGAGGGGGAGGGGCCGGCGGGGAAGGGGACGGUAUUGCCACGGCGACCAUUAUGGUGCUCGGCGAUACUUGCACGCGCGGUUGUCGAUUCUGCGCCGUGAAGACCAGCAACAAGCCUCCGCCGCCGGAUCCCAUGGAACCUCUGAACACGGCCUUGGCCGUUGCAAGUUGGGGAGUAGACUAUGUUGUGCUGACAAGUGUUGAUAGAGAUGACUUACCUGAUGGGGGAAGUGGCCAUUUUGCUCAGACAGUGAGAGCUUUGAAGGAGCUCAAACCUGGGAUAUUGGUGGAAUGCUUAACCUCGGAUUUUCGAGGUGAUCUGGAGGCUGUUUCCUCUUUGGCCGAUUCUAAUCUAGAUGUCUUUGCGCACAACAUUGAAACUGUGAGGAGUCUGCAGAGAAUUGUGAGGGAUCCUCGAGCAGGAUAUGAGCAGAGCUUAGCUGUUCUAAAGCAUGCAAAAAUUUGCAAAGAGGGGAUGAUAACCAAGUCUUCUAUCAUGCUUGGUCUUGGGGAAACUGACGAGGAGGUGAAACAAGCCAUGAUUGAUUUAAGGGCAGUUGGUGUUGAUAUUCUCACAUUGGGCCAAUAUUUGCAGCCAACAGAAAAACAUUUGACGGUUAGGGAGUAUGUGACGCCUGAGAAGUUCCAGUUUUGGAAGGAGUAUGGUGAAUCGUUGGGUUUUUGUUAUGUUGCUAGUGGACCUCUGGUCCGGUCUUCGUACCGUGCAGGAGAGCUCUUUGUCGAGAAUUUGGUCAGAAAUAAGAAGUCUAAGCCUGCAUCGGCCUCCUCUUAAGUCUCAACCAAGAUAUGUCGACCUACAAAAGCAAUCCAUCGGAUUCUUCCACUUUGUAUGUUCAGAGCAGCACCAGAAAAGCGGGGGUGGCACAAUCAUUCUAUUAUUCUGAAAGUUUGUCCCCUGCUUUUCUUUUUUGAAUAUGCACACACACUUUUGAUAUUUAUCACUGUAGAUGCCCGGAUGCCAUUUUUGUUGUUGUAUCAUUACCUUUGAAAGAAUAUAGGAAAAGCUAUUCAUGAGUAGUCCACAGCUGUCCCUCUGUCGUUUGAUUAUGCGAUGCUUUAUGCAUCACUUAGGAGAACGCAUCCAGCACUUUCAUGUCUUAGGUACUUCCGGUGCACCUGUAUGUUUUGGCCUAUUUAAAAGUUAAACAUUUUUUUGGAGAUAAAAUCACAACACUGACACUACAUAUAUCUAUUAUGCUAUAAAAUUAUAGAAUCAAAAUCUAUAUGUAGCUUGAGGAACAAAAACACUUAAUAGUGUUAAAUUGGCCGAAUUCAUAGUUCAAUUUGAACUAGUUGCUAUUCAUAGCUAGAUUUGUCUCUCUUUUUUCUAGUUUUCUGAGUGAUGUUUUGAAUUUGGAUUUGAAAUUUUGUGACACAGGUGAUAUACUAUCCUGUCUUUGUUCCUAGAAUUUUCCAUGACUCUUAUUGUGAAGUUCUCAUAAUCAUAUACGGGGGUGCUGGAAUUUUGGUCACUCUUAUUGUGAAGUUCUCUGAUAUAGGAGUGCCGGAAAUACUCCAAACUCGAGAGCACGUGAUAGGUUGAUAUGGAAUGUGUUUUAGGCUUGCUUUAUCUUUACUGUUCCUUUUGUUUUAGUUUGUGUAAUAAUUUUGUUGCGGUUUCUUUAAUGGAAAUGGACGAGGCUUGUUGUUUUAAAGAAAAGGUUCUUAAUAGUCCUCUGGUAGAGCACGUGAUACAUUGUUAACAAACUUUUUUUGCAGAACAUUUUUUAGAAUCUACCACAAAAUUUACAAUAUGUACAGAUCAACCAAAAACGAAUUAUAUUGUACGCGAAGCUUGUUGAAGCAUGAUAGCACAAUGGUAGGCUGACUGACUCCACAGAUUUAAGUCCACCGAAAGAUAAAAGAUGGUCACAUCAGAAGCUUCGUAAUGACCUAGUUGAGCAUACGUGGAAGUGGUUUUCUUUUUUAUGUUUCAAUCAUAUGUCUUCAUGUUUUAUUUGGAUUAUUUUAUGUGUUUCUUGUGCAGAUUUCAUUCAUAUUUGAAAUUUUUGAAAAUUAUGACUUUGAAAUAUUGUUGAAUUGUGC
rnacentral:rRNA from 1 species